AAUUUAUAUAAAUAGCGUGCCAGAACCACAUUUAUUCCAUUCGUUUUCUCCAACUAAUUUGCGUAACUGACAUGGAAAAAACCAAGAUCCUACUGUUGAUCUGUCUGAUUUACGUCAGUGGAAUUUCUUUGGUAACUUCUCAUCCGAUGUGUACUCCUAGAGAAGUAAAUGGCAUUUGUCGCGUAUAUUGCAUAAUGGCUAAAGUACAUUUAUGCUUAAAAGUGCCGCCUUGUAUCUGCCCCAGUUAUACUGCAAAUACGACUCCGAGACUAAGACCAAGAAAGACGUAAAAAGCAAUAAAAUAUUUUUAAAUUUCUCUUUCACUAGAAAUUCCUCUUCUUACAAUUCUGUACUCAAGUUUUAUCGUUUCUUUUGUAAUUUAAUUUAGAGUUUACUUUUAUAUCUUGUUGCUAUAGUUUUAUACGGAUGUAAGCAGUUUAAUUUUUAAAUAAAUUGUUUUUAUAGAAUAUUUUCUUUUAUUAA